UUGUAUAAUGGGUCAGCGACUUAUAUUCUGUAGCAAGGUUAACCGUAUAGGGGAGCCGCAGGGAAACCGAGUCUUAACUGGGCGUUAAGUUGCAGGGUAUAGACCCGAAACCCGGUGAUCUAGCCAUGGGCAGGUUGAAGGUUGGGUAACACUAACUGGAGGACCGAACCGACUAAUGUUGAAAAAUUAGCGGAUGACUUGUGGCUGGGGGUGAAAGGCCAAUCAAACCGGGAGAUAGCUGGUUCUCCCCGAAAGCUAUUUAGGUAGCGCCUCGUGAAUUCAUCUUCGGGGGUAGAGCACUGUUUCGGCUAGGGGGUCAUCCCGACUUACCAACCGAUGCAAACUACGAAUACCGAAGAAUGUUAUCACGGGAGACACACGGCGGGUGCUAACGUCCGUCGUGAAGAGGGAAACAACCCAGACCGCCAGCUAAGGUCCCAAAGUCAUGGUUAAGUGGGAAACGAUGUGGGAAGGCACAGACAGCCAGGAUGUUGGCUUAGAAGCAGCCAUCAUUUAAAGAAAGCGUAAUAGCUCACUGGUCGAGUCGGCCUGCGCGGAAGAUGUAACGGGGCUAAACCAUGCACCGAAGCUGCGGCAGCGACACUAUGUGUUGUUGGGUAGGGGAGCGUUCUGUAAGCCUGCGAAGGUGUGCUGUGAGGCAUGCUGGAGGUAUCAGAAGUGCGAAUGCUGACAUAAGUAACGAUAAAGCGGGUGAAAAGCCCGCUCGCCGGAAGACCAAGGGUUCCUGUCCAACGUUAAUCGGGGCAGGGUGAGUCGACCCCUAAGGCGAGGCCGAAAGGCGUAGUCGAUGGGAAACAGGUUAAUAUUCCUGUACUUGGUGUUACUGCGAAGGGGGGACGGAGAAGGCUAUGUUAGCCGGGCGACGGUUGUCCCGGUUUAAGCAUGUAGGCUGGUUAUCCAGGCAAAUCCGGAUAAUCAAGGCUGAGGUGUGAUGACGAGGCACUACGGUGCUGAAGUAACAAAUGCCCUGCUUCCAGGAAAAGCCUCUAAGCAUCAGGUAACAUUAAAUCGUACCCCAAACCGACACAGGUGGUCAGGUAGAGAAUACCAAGGCGCUUGAGAGAACUCGGGUGAAGGAACUAGGCAAAAUGGUGCCGUAACUUCGGGAGAAGGCACGCUGGUGUGUAGGUGAAGUCCCUGCGGAUGGAGCUGAGACCAGUCGAAGAUACCAGCUGGCUGCAACUGUUUAUUAAAAACACAGCACUGUGCAAACACGAAAGUGGACGUAUACGGUGUGACGCCUGCCCGGUGCCGGAAGGUUAAUUGAUGGGGUUAUCCGUAAGGAGAAGCUCUUGAUCGAAGCCCCGGUAAACGGCGGCCGUAACUAUAACGGUCCUAAGGUAGCGAAAUUCCUUGUCGGGUAAGUUCCGACCUGCACGAAUGGCGUAAUGAUGGCCAGGCUGUCUCCACCCGAGACUCAGUGAAAUUGAACUCGCUGUGAAGAUGCAGUGUACCCGCGGCAAGACGGAAAGACCCCGUGAACCUUUACUAUAGCUUGACACUGAACAUUGAGCCUUGAUGUGUAGGAUAGGUGGGAGGCUUUGAAGCGUGGACGCCAGUCUGCGUGGAGCCAACCUUGAAAUACCACCCUUUAAUGUUUGAUGUUCUAACGUUGGCCCCUUACCGGGGUUGCGGACAGUGUCUGGUGGGUAGUUUGACUGGGGCGGUCUCCUCCCAAAGCGUAACGGAGGAGCACGAAGGUUAGCUAAUCCUGGUCGGACAUCAGGAGGUUAGUGCAAUGGCAUAAGCUAGCUUGACUGCGAGCGUGACGGCGCGAGCAGGUGCGAAAGCAGGUCAUAGUGAUCCGGUGGUUCUGAAUGGAAGGGCCAUCGCUCAACGGAUAAAAGGUACUCCGGGGAUAACAGGCUGAUACCGCCCAAGAGUUCAUAUCGACGGCGGUGUUUGGCACCUCGAUGUCGGCUCAUCACAUCCUGGGGCUGAAGUAGGUCCCAAGGGUAUGGCUGUUCGCCAUUUAAAGUGGUACGCGAGCUGGGUUUAGAACGUCGUGAGACAGUUCGGUCCCUAUCUGCCGUGGGCGCUGGAGAAUUGAGGGGGGCUGCUCCUAGUACGAGAGGACCGGAGUGGACGCAUCACUGGUGUUCGGGUUGUCAUGCCAAUGGCACUGCCCGGUAGCUAAAUGCGGAAGAGAUAAGUGCUGAAAGCAUCUAAGCACGAAACUUGCCCCGAGAUGAGUUCUCCCUGAGACUUUAAGUCUCCUGAAGGAACGUUAAAGACGAUGACGUUGAUAGGCCGGGUGUGUAAGCGCAGCGAUGCGUUGAGCUAACCGGUACUAAUGAACCGUGAGGCUUAACCUU
rnacentral:rRNA from 1 species